GGUAAGCAAAAAGAAAAGAACACAGAGACACAUGCACUCCCAAAUUUGUAUGCAUUGAUAAGAAUCUUGAUUUUAGUAUUUUUACUUGACUGAUCAUUGUUAUUGUGUGACAUGCAGGAACUCCUCCAUCACACGGAGGAUACACUCCAACCCCUUCAACUCCAUCACAUACCCCUCCUUCUAACUGUGGAAGUCCACCUUACGACCCAAGUCCUCCAUCUCACACUCCAACUCCUUCUACUCCAUCUCACACUCCUUCAACUCCAUCUCACACUCCCUCAACUCCUUCUCAUACUCCAACUCCUUCGACUCCAUCUCACACACCAACUCCAUCACACACUAGUCCUCCUUGCCACUGUGGAACUCCACCUUCACACCCUUCCACACCUUCACGGCCUUCAAGGCCUUCACACCCAUCCAGGCC
rnacentral:lncRNA from 1 species